UCUGAGGAGCCAUCUUUCACCAAUGUGAUUGAUACAUUACCACUCUCUCAUUCUGGCAGAAGAGAUUUACUGUAGACCCCCAGGAAUCGUGGCUGUACACUCUAACCUAUGACACAAGGAAAUCAAUCAAUAAACUUGCACAGCUCUUUGAUCUCCAGGAUUAUGGGAUCUCUCUUCAUGCAAAAGGAAACGUCAGCAUAAGCAAAUAAAAAGACUUCAGCAGCAAGAGAGAGAUUUUGAGACAAAACAGAAAUUCCCCUUAACAUACCACAGUGCUAAAACUACUGUUCCUUUGAGCUUAUGCAUAAGAAGGGCAAUAGGAAGGACGUACAAAUUAAAGAUGUAUUUCUGGCCAUUAA